GGGCCCGUAGUAUAACGGUAAUACACGUCCAUGGCAUGGAUGAGUUAAGGGUUCGAUUCCCUUCGGGUCCA
rnacentral:tRNA from 1 species